GAUGAACGCUGGCGGCGUGCCUAAUACAUGCAAGUCGAGCGAACGGACGAGAAGCUUGCUGCUCUGAUGUUAGCGGCGGACGGGUGAGAAACACGUGGAUACCCUACCUAUAAGACUGGGAUAACUUCGGGACACCGGAGCUAAUACCGGAGAAUAUUUUGAACCGCAUGGUUCAAAAGUGAAAGACGGUCUUGCGGUAACUUCUAGAUGGAUCCGCGCUGCAUUAGCUGGUUGGUAAGGUAACGGCUUACCAAGGCAAGGCUGCAUAGCCGACCGGUGAGGGUGAUCGGCCACACGGGAACUGAGACACGGUCCAGACUCCUACGGGAGGCAGCAGUAGGGAAUCUUCCGCAAUGGGCGAAAGCCUGACGGAGCAACGCCGCGUGAGUGAUGAAGGUCUUCGGAUCGUAAAACUCUGUUAUUAGGGAAGAACAUAUGUGUAAGUAACUGUGCACAUCUUGACGGUACCUAAUCAGAAAGCCACGGCUAACUACGUG
rnacentral:rRNA from 1 species